UUGCAGAGAUCUCUUUGUGAUGGUCAGGCAA
rnacentral:piRNA from 1 species